rnacentral:rRNA from 1 species
AUGAAUGUCGCACUCAUGCUGAGAUAGGUGUGGAGGAUCAUGCGAGGCGAUGGGGGCUUGUGGCUUCAAAUCAUCCAAGCAAAAUACCUAAGGGGAGAACCCCUGCUGGCAUGCUCCCGCUCUGGAGGAUCCCAGUUCUGGCGAUCCAUCCAAAGGAUCAAGGAGGACAUUCGUGUAGGAAUCUCCUUCUCUAUAGGUAAUGGGAAUGGGACCCAAUUCUGGCUGGACCCAUGGAUGGGUACCGAGCCCCUCAGGAUUGGAUUCCCUGUCCUGUUCUCAAUCUGCGUGGGCAUGUUACUCCUCGUCUCCGCGGCUGCACGCUUUGGGCACUGGGAUAUACGGUUUCGUCGAACGUUUGGGCAGACGGAGAAUAUCGAGUGGUCUAGGCUACGUGCAGCCCUACCGCUGGUAUUGUCAGAUCAUUCAGACACCGUGUCCUGGCGGCUAUCACCGUCGGGAGAGUUCUCCGUCAACUCCACAGGCAUUAUGUCGGUCCCCCACCAUUCCUUGGAUUUCUCCCUUGUGGAAGGCCCCUUUGCCCUUGAAGAUCAAGAUCUUUGUUUGGCAACUCCUUAG